rnacentral:lncRNA from 1 species
CUUUUUUUUUUUUUUCCUCUUUUUCCCACCCCAAAGAGCGGCGCUCGCAUCAACAUCUCAGAAGGGAACUGCCCCGAGCGGAUCAUCACCCUGGCCGGCCCCACCAACGCCAUCUUCAAAGCUUUUGCGAUGAUCAUCGACAAACUGGAAGAGGACAUCAGCAGCUCCAUGACCAACAGCACGGCCGCCAGCCGGCCCCCGGUCACCCUCCGGCUCGUGGUCCCCGCCAGCCAGUGCGGCUCCCUCAUUGGCAAAGGAGGCUGCAAGAUCAAAGAGAUCCGAGAGGUAGGUGCUGCUGCUGCCCCCCCCCGCCUCGUGGGGAGGUAAAUCGGUGUCAGCGCCCCCCCCCCGGGUGGCCCUACAAGGGGGGGAGGCGGCGGCGCUUGGCCUUUGUGGAGAGCUCCUCGUAUUUUUAGGACUUGGGAAACUGAGACUGCGGGGCACGGCUUCC